rnacentral:rRNA from 1 species
UAUUGAACAAAGUAGUUAUGGUCUUCAUAAUUCAAAGAAUUUGGCGGUUAAUAAAAUUUUUAGAGGAACCUGUGUUUUAAUUGAUAAUCCACGUUAAUUUCUACUUUGAGUAUUAUUUGUAUACCUCUAUAUAUAUAUUAUUUUUAAGAAUAUAAUUUUUAGAUUUAUCGUUUAAUUUAGGUCAAGGUGCAGUUUUUUCUUAGUUAAUAUGGGUUAUUUUAUUAUAUAAUUGUUUAAAUUUUUAUGAUUUUUAAUAUAAGUGUUAUUAGAAUUUGAAAGUAAUUUUAAUUAAUUAAUUAAUAUGAAUAUU